rnacentral:lncRNA from 1 species
AGAAAACGCUAGUCAAUCGAGCCUUUAGCCAUUUGUCAGCAUCCUGAUUUCAUUCAGCACAAUGGAGACUUUAGUGGGAUUGUUGCUUUUGCUUCUCACUUAUUCAGCCUCAGCAGCUCCAUCUGUCAGUGCUACAGCCGUCAGUGCUUCUGCUGUCAGUGCUUCUGGUGUCAGUUCUUCAGCUGUCAGUUCUUCAGCUGUCAAGGCUCCAGCUGUCAGGGCUCUAACCGUCAAUACUUCAGUGGUGGAUGGAAAUACCAGUUCUAAAGCUAACACACGCCUUAACCUUGCCAUCAUCGCUGGCACUGCCAUUGCUGCCGUUGUGCUCGUGAUAAUCUUCUAUGUAAUUGCCCGGAGAUGUGGUGCAACGAACGAGCAAAUCUUAGACUCUUGCGGCAAACCCUUUUUUAAGCUCACUAUGGCAUGCUGUGAGCUGCUUCAAAAAACUGAAUAAAAGGGUUUGAUCUUUUCUCUUUUGGAUACUACAGAUUUUUCAUUCAUACUGUUUUUAAUAUCUUUUAG